UGUUCAUUCAUACAUCCUAUCAGCAUUGGAUGUACUGCAGGAACAUUAUCUUUAAAUUCGUAUUCAUUGGGACUGUAAAACCCUUCCCUUUUCAUGCUGAAGACAAGGGGAUACUCAACCUAAUCAAGAAAUGAUGGAAAUGAAAAAGGAGAUUCUGUGGACCACCCUUUGUGUUUUCUUUGUGGUGACAGUAUCUUAUUCAAAACCAGUCAGUCUGCAUGGAUUCCAGUUCAGAAACCUGAUGGCUGACAGCCUGGAAUCUUCCGAGUCUUCUGAGUCCAACGAGUCUUCUGAGAACAUUGGCGUAGCACCACAGACAGCCAAUGGUCAGCCAAUGGUCACUGGCGCUGAGACUGCAAUACCAGACACAGAGGAGGAGACCGAUCCGCAAGAAAGCGAUGCUAUACCCUCUGAAACAGCCUCAGAGGUUGAUGAUGCUUUGAUCGCUUCACAAACUGCACUUGGAACUGAAGCCUCAUCGGCAGACUCACUAAAUGGGACAGAAACUGAGACUACCUCACAACAUCCAGCCAUAAUCACAGUGACUGAUUCUCCCAGUCUGACUUCUGAUGUCAUAACCCAUAUAAGGUCUAUGCUCACGACGGCUCUUCCAUCAAUCAUUGACACAGCGACAAUCCAAGAAUUCCAUGUGGGCACAACUCUUCCCCCGAGCCCAUACCCCAUACCCAUUAUGGAGCAGCCAACAACUCCACCCGUCUCCUCAGUACUAGGCCUAUCUCCCCAGCAGCCAGUUCCAUUGGAAACCACUGAUGACAUAUCUGCUGUGCCAGGUUGUUUUACUGUAGUAUACAUAACUAGCCCUCAGCCAGUUCCUGCUAGAGGCGAUAACAUUUAAAGCUGAGAGGAAAGUAGAAUAUCUUUGAUUAAAGCUGGAAUCCGAAGUAGAGGGAAACAGCGCCACUGGCCAUGGUUGUUAUUGUUUUUGUUGCCGAACUUAGGAGCGUCGUCGCGCAGGAUGGUAAAAAUGUUUGCAUGUAUUGCCGUGUAAUGAUGUCCAAGGCGGAAAAAAAUUGUAUUCUUUGUUAGCAGUAACUUCUUUGUUGUUGUAAUGUUGCAACAGACAUGUCUGUUUCACCAUUAAGGAUUCUAGCUUUAAAGGUCAAAUGCAGCCAUUUUUAUCUCAAUAUCAAAUCAUUUCUGGGCAACAAUUAAGUACUUUACUGUCAUUGCUAUGAAUUAAAAUGGUCAAAAUUGAAAAGUCACUUGCACAUCCUUAUUGCUGUUUAAUAAGAUGACAGCUCUGACGAAGGCCUUGAGGCCGAUACGUAAACCUUAAUAAAGAGCAGUGAUACUAGCAAGAGCAGUGUGCGGGUUUUGUCAGGAUUUGGCCAGGGUUGUUCCGGUUUUUGGU